AAAAAAAAAAAAAAAAAAAAAAAAAGCCCCAAGGAGGGCUGGAAAAAAAAAAAGCAUGAGUAUCAAUAUCAAGAUUAAUCCCAUCUAAUCCGCGUUGAAGUUAGCUUAUCUGCAAUCAUGUGUAAUGGGAACCUUCCAAUUUCGUUUCUAUCGUCAAAAGUGCUUGAGGCGGCGCAUAAUUCAGAUAUCUUCAAGGCUUUUGUUCCACUCCUGUUUGGCUGAACGUAAUGUGUGGUUUGGAGGCUUUGUCACUGGUGACGCGCUGUGCUUCUGGAGCCGCGCCUUAAUUGCUCUAUGCUUUCUUGUAUGUGAUCAUCCAUUUAUUUCCUGCAUUAACCAAUCCAUGUACAG
rnacentral:misc_RNA from 1 species